rnacentral:tRNA from 1 species
GCUCGCGUGGCCUAAUGGAUAAGGCAUCUGACUUCUAAUCAGGGGAUUGUGGGUUCGAGUCCCACCGUGAGUGCA